rnacentral:rRNA from 1 species
UGGGGAAUAUUGCGCAAUGGGCGAAAGCCUGACGCAGCGACGCCGCGUGAGGGAUGAAGGUUUUCGGAUCGUAAACCUCUGUCAGAAGGGAAGAAACCGCACUGUGCUAUUCAGCAGUGCCUUGACGGUACCUUCAAAGGAAGCACCGGCUAACUCCGUGCCAGCAGCCGCGGUAAUACGGAGGGUGCAAGCGUUAAUCGGAAUUACUGGGCGUAAAGCGCACGUAGGCUGCUUUGUAAGUCAGGGGUGAAAUCCCACGGCUCAACCGUGGAACUGCCUUUGAUACUGCUUAGCUUGAAGCCGGGAGAGGGUGGCGGAAUUCCAGGUGUAGGAGUGAAAUCCGUAGAUAUCAGGAGGAACAUCAGUGGCGAAGGCGGCCACCUGGACCGGUAUUGACGCUGAGGUGCGAAAGCGUGGGGAGCAAACAGG